AGUGAACGCUGGCGGUAGGCCUAACACAUGCAAGUCGAACGGCAGCACAGUAAGAGCUUGCUCUUACGGGUGGCGAGUGUCGGACGGGUGAGGAAUACAUCGGAAUCUACUUUUUCGUGGGGGUUAACGUAGGGAAACUUACGCUAAUACCGCAUACGACCUACGGUUUAAAUCAUUGGAUCUUCUGACCUUGCGCGAUUUAUUUAGCCGAUGUCGGAUUAGCUAGUUGGCGGGGUAAAGGCCCACCAAGGCGACGAUCCGUAGCUGGUCUGAGAGGAUGAUCAGCCAAACGGGAACUGAGACACGGACCAGAGUACUACGGGAGGAAGCAGUGGGGAAUAUUGGACAAUGGGCGCAAGCAUGAUACAGACAUACCGCGUGGGUGAAGAAGGCCUUCGGGUUGUAAAGCCCUUUUGUUGGGAAAGAAAAGCAGCAGGUUAAUACCACGCUGUUCUGACGGUACCCAAAGAAUAAGCACCGGCUAACUUCGUG
rnacentral:rRNA from 1 species